rnacentral:misc_RNA from 1 species
CAUCGCAGUGAGGGGCGGGCAGCCAUAGCGAAGCUCGCCAUGACAACGACCAUGAAGACGCUGACGUUGACGCUGCUAGCAGCCGCGACCCUUUUGGGCCGAGCUGAAGGCCUCAUAAGACUUUCUCUGGACGGUGACUCCUGGACGGCCUCCAACGGCAACGGCUCCAUCACAGUUCCUGCAAGUGUUCCUGGCGGCAUAUAUUCAGAUCUCAGAGCUGCUGGAGUCUUACCGGAAGAUAUCUACUAUCGCUUCAAUGAUGCUGAGUAUCGCUGGGUGUCUUAUGAAAAUUGGACAUACUCGACAACAUUUCAAGUCAGUUCUGACAUCAAGAAUAAAAGGAACAUUACUCUACUUUUUAAUGGAGUGGACACAAUUGCUGACAUAUAUCUGAAUGAAAAUUACAUUGGUUCAACAGAAAACAUGUUUCUUCGAUACUUUUUCCCAGUAGAAGAUUAUAUACAGGAGGGAGAAAACGUUCUUGAAGUGAGAUUUCAGUCUGCAGUGAUAUCAGCCUUGGAUCGUUUUACGGCAGAAGAUUAUAUUGUACCACCUGAGUGUGUACCAGAUGAAUAUCAUGGAGAAUGCCAUGUAAAUUUUUUGCGUAAAAUGCAGUCAUCUUUCUCUUGGGAUUGGGGACCUGCUUUCCCAUCAGUCAGCAUAUGGAAAAAUGUAGAGCUGCUUGCUGCAAAUAAUGGUUACAUCAAGAAUUACUAUGUUUCUGUGCUGUUUAAUGAAACAAGCCAGAUGUACGAGGUAACUCAGCAUGUGGAGAUUUCUCCUUAUGAUACUAUGUGUGAUCAGUUAACAUUAGGAAUAAAUACAAUUCCAGGAGGAAAUAACAGAAAUCAAGCAAAGACGAUGAAAAUAACAUCAGACCAAUUGGUUGAUCCUCAGUUUGAAGCCACAUGGUAUUAUCCAGAGGAUGAGGUGAUGAAUUGGUGGCCCAAUGGCAUGGGUGAACAGUAUCAAUAUCGGACAUAUGCUGAAUGUAUGGAUGAGGAUGGAUUAUACACCAUAGAAAAAUAUAUUGGUUAUAGGAGAAUUAAUAUAGUUCAAGUACCUGUGGCAGAAGAUGCAGAGAAAGGUCUUAGUUUCUACUUAGAGGUCAAUGGUGUUCCAGUUUUUGCAAAGGGCAGUAACUGGAUACCAUCUCAUGUGCUUGCAGAAAUGAGUGCUGAUCCGAACAGGAUUAGAAAUCUACUAACUGCUGCCAAGAAUGCUAAUAUGAAUAUGCUACGCAUAUGGGGAGGAGGAUUGUAUGAAUCUGAUUUGUUCUAUCAGAUCGCUGAUGAAAUGGGAAUAAUGAUAUGGCAUGAUUUCAUGUUUGCCUGUAAUAUGUACCCAACAAACCCAAGGUUCCUGGAUAAUGUUGCAGCUGAAAUUACUGAGCAAAUUGUACGGCUAAUGCAUCACCCAAGCAUUGUUGUUUGGGCUGGCAACAAUGAAAAUGAAGGUGCACUCAGGGAUAACUGGUAUGGCACAGGGUCAAACUUUAGCCUUUACUACUCUGACUAUGUUAAACUGUAUGUUGAUACAAUCGGCGAAGUAGUACAAGCAUUAGACACAACCAGACCAUUUGUUUUCUCAAGUCCAUCCAAUGGCCUUAAAACCAUAGAAGAGGGAUAUGUUUCUCAGACACCAGGGGAUUCCUUGUAUGGUGAUGUUCACUAUUAUAAUUAUAAUGAUGAUGGCUGGAACUACACAACUUUCCCAACUCCUCGGUUUGCUUCUGAGUAUGGUUUCCAAUCAUUACCAUCAAUCUAUACAUUAUCUUCAAUAGCAAUACCUUCAGACCUAAGUGUUGGCAGUGAACUCAUGCAAAGAAGACAGCACCAUCUUAAUGGUUAUGAGGAAAUGGCUCAGCAAAUAAGCAGGCACCUUCCUCUUCCAGAUGACUAUGACACUGAAGAAAAUUUCCGAACUUUCAUUUACUUCAGCCAGAUUAACCAGGCAAUGUCGACAAAGGUGGAAACAGAGCACUACAGAAGGAAUCGUAAUAAGCUUACCGAUGCUGGAGAAGGAUAUACAAUGGGGGCAUUGUACUGGCAACUGAAUGACAUUUGGGAGGCUCCAUCAUGGUCUUCCAUAGAUUUUCAUGGCAACUGGAAGAUGCUUCAUUAUUAUGCAAAGAACUUUUUUGCUAAUGUUCUUGUGUCACCAUACAUCACUCCUGAAGGAGAGCUGGUAGUGAGUCUUAUCUCUGACCUGCCAUAUGAAAUGGAUACUGCUGUACUUAGCAUUUAUGUGUACCGCUGGGACAGCUUUGAGUUUGACAUAGCUAUUAUAGGAGCACAUAGACUGCCAGCUGCCACAGCAUAUGAUGCAUACAACGAAACACUGGAAAAUAUCCUGGAAGGUACAACAUGCGGUGCUGAUGGCGGUACAAAAGACGCGUGUCUAUUAUAUUUCACUUUAGAAGAUGACACAUUAACAAAAAAAAUCAGUCCAGAUAACUUUAUAUUUCUUAGUGAAAUAAAUUCAGCAAUUGGAAUCAGUGAUCCUUCAUUAAAUAUAACAUCUGUGACUGGCCCAUAUCAAGUGUCUGGCAGUGAUACUUACACAUAUAAUAUCACUGUUUCAUCCAAUGCUAUAGCUCCUUUUGUGUGGUUGGAAGCAGAAAAUAUCAAUGGGUUUUUCUCAGACAAUGGAUUUAUUAUUCUCCAACCAGUCACUGAACUUCAGUUUUACACAACUCAGGAGACAACAGCUGAAGAAUUGGAAAGUGCUCUUUCUGUCACAUCUGUCAUGAGCUCAUUUCAUUAAUCUCAUUGUAUCAUAUUAGUAAAUGUAAUUAUGUUUAAUAUAACAUCCAGUGGACACAGAAAAAUGAGUUUUCUUUUAAUUUCAGACUUAUGAUGAACACAUUGUACACAGAUUAAAAGAAAUUAAUGAAUAGAAAUAAAUAAAACUGUCAAACAUUUAUUCUCACCACAAA